rnacentral:tRNA from 2 species
AGGGGCUUAGGAUAGGAUUUAGACCAAGGGCCUUCAAAGCCCUAAACGAGGGUGAAAAUCCCUCAGCCCCUG